AGAGUUUGAUCAUGGCUCAGAUUGAACGCUGGCGGCAGGCCUAACACAUGCAAGUCGAACGGUAACAGGAAACAGCUUGCUGUUUCGCUGACGAGUGGCGGACGGGUGAGUAAUGUCUGGGAAACUGCCUGAUGGAGGGGGAUAACUACUGGAAACGGUAGCUAAUACCGCAUAACGUCGCAAGACCAAAGAGGGGGACCUUCGGGCCUCUUGCCAUCAGAUGUGCCCAGAUGGGAUUAGCUAGUAGGUGGGGUAACGGCUCACCUAGGCGACGAUCCCUAGCUGGUCUGAGAGGAUGACCAGCCACACUGGAACUGAGACACGGUCCAGACUCCUACGGGAGGCAGCAGUGGGGAAUAUUGCACAAUGGGCGCAAGCCUGAUGCAGCCAUGCCGCGUGUAUGAAGAAGGCCUUCGGGUUGUAAAGUACUUUCAGCGGGGAGGAAGGGAGUAAAGUUAAUACCUUUGCUCAUUGACGUUACCCGCAGAAGAAGCACCGGCUAACUCCGUGCCAGCAGCCGCGGUAAUACGGAGGGUGCAAGCGUUAAUCGGAAUUACUGGGCGUAAAGCGCACGCAGGCGGUUUGUUAAGUCAGAUGUGAAAUCCCCGGGCUCAACCUGGGAACUGCAUCUGAUACUGGCAAGCUUGAGUCUCGUAGAGGGGGGUAGAAUUCCAGGUGUAGCGGUGAAAUGCGUAGAGAUCUGGAGGAAUACCGGUGGCGAAGGCGGCCCCCUGGACGAAGACUGACGCUCAGGUGCGAAAGCGUGGGGAGCAAACAGGAUUAGAUACCCUGGUAGUCCACGCCGUAAACGAUGUCGACUUGGAGGUUGUGCCCUUGAGGCGUGGCUUCCGGAGCUAACGCGUUAAGUCGACCGCCUGGGGAGUACGGCCGCAAGGUUAAAACUCAAAUGAAUUGACGGGGGCCCGCACAAGCGGUGGAGCAUGUGGUUUAAUUCGAUGCAACGCGAAGAACCUUACCUGGUCUUGACAUCCACGGAAGUUUUCAGAGAUGAGAAUGUGCCUUCGGGAACCGUGAGACAGGUGCUGCAUGGCUGUCGUCAGCUCGUGUUGUGAAAUGUUGGGUUAAGUCCCGCAACGAGCGCAACCCUUAUCCUUUGUUGCCAGCGGUCCGGCCGGGAACUCAAAGGAGACUGCCAGUAAUAAACUGGAGGAAGGUGGGGAUGACGUCAAGUCAUCAUGGCCCUUACGACCAGGGCUACACACGUGCUACAAUGGCGCAUACAAAGAGAAGCGACCUCGCGAGAGCAAGCGGACCUCAUAAAGUGCGUCGUAGUCCGGAUUGGAGUCUGCAACUCGACUCCAUGAAGUCGGAAUCGCUAGUAAUCGUGGAUCAGAAUGCCACGGUGAAUACGUUCCCGGGCCUUGUACACACCGCCCGUCACACCAUGGGAGUGGGUUGCAAAAGAAGUAGGUAGCUUAACCUUCGGGAGGGCGCUUACCACUUUGUGAUUCAUGACUGGGGUGAAGUCGUAACAAGGUAACCGUAGGGGAACCUGCGGUUG
rnacentral:rRNA from 1 species